GUGUAGUAUAGUGGUUUGAGCACUGGACUAGGACUCUGGAGACCAGGGUUCAAAUCCCUGCUGAGCCA